rnacentral:rRNA from 1 species
CAUGUAGGCGGUUUUUAAGUCCGGAGUGAAAAUGCGGGGCUCAACCCCGUAUGGCUCUGGAUACUGGAAGACUUGAGUGCAGGAGAGGAAAGGGGAAUUCCCAGUGUAGCGGUGAAAUGCGUAGAUAUUGGGAGGAACACCAGUGGCGAAGGCGCCUUUCUGGACUGUGUCUGACGCUGAGAUGCGAAAGCCAGGGUAGCAACG